rfam:Oryza rufipogon genomic scaffold, chr08
AAAAAGAUCAAAUUUUUUGGUUUUCGUGUCCAACAUUUGACCGUCCGUCUUAUAUGAAAUUUUUUAUGUUUAGUAUUUUCAUUAUCGUUAGAUGAUAAAACAUGAAUAAUACUUUAUGCAUGACUUAUUUUUUUUUAUUUUUUUCAUAAUUUUUUUAAAUAAGAUGGACAGUCAAAAGUUAGACACGAAAAUUCAGAAAUUAAG